rnacentral:rRNA from 1 species
UUCCGUAGGUGAACCUGCGGAAGGAUCAUUAAUGAUURCGAAUGGCUGCCUUCAGUGCUGGCUCUUAUGAGCAUGUGCACGUUGGUGGCUUUCAUCCAAUACCCAUGUGAACCUUUGGCCUCUUGCUAGCUUUGGCCGGCAGAGGAUUUUUAUACACACACUCGAAUGUAAUGAAAACUAUUGUCGUGYGCAAGCACUAAUGUACAACUUUCAACAACGGAUCUCUUGGCUCUCGCAUCGAUGAAGAACGCAGCGAAAUGCGAUAAGUAAUGUGAAUUGCAGAAUUCAGUGAAUCAUCGAAUCUUUGAACGCACCUUGCACCCUUUGGCAUUCCGAAGGGUAUGCUCGUUUGAGUGUCAUUGUACUCUCACACUCUCUGAUCCUUUGGAUUCAGRGAGCGGUGGACUUGGGUGUUGCUGCUUUUCCUUGUGGCUCACCUCAAAUGUGUUAGUGCACCUCUUGGUUGGACAUAGAACGGCGUGAUAAGUGUCUUCGCCGGCACCUCGCAAGAGGGUGGCCAAUUGGGAGCUCUGUGCUUUCAAACCGUCUUCGGACAAUCUCUGACAACUUGACCUCAAAUCGAGUAGGACUACCCGCUGAACUUAAGCAUAUCAAUAAGCGGAGGAAAAGAAACUAACAAGGAUUCCCCUAGUAACGGCGAGUGAAGAGGGAAGAGCUCAAAUUUUGAAUCUGGCGUCUUUGGCGUCUGAAUUGUAAUCUAGAGAAGUGUUUUCCGUGAUGGACCGUGCACAAGUCUCCUGGAAUGGAGCGUCAUGGAGGGUGAGAAUCCCGUAUAUGGCAUGGACUACCGUUACUCUGUGAUACACUCUCGACGAGUCGAGUUGUUUGGGAAUGCAGCUCCAAAUGGGUGGUAAAUGCCAUCUAAAGCUAAAUAUUGGCGAGAGACCGAUAGCGAACAAGUACCGUGAGGGAAAGAUGAAAAGCACUUUGGAAAGAGAGUGAAACAGUACGUGAAAUUGUUGAAAGGGAAACGCUUGAAGUCAGUCGCGCCGUUCGGGAUUCAGCCUUGCUUCUGCUCGGUUUACUUCCCGUUGGGUGGGUCAACAUCAGUUUUGGUCGGAGGAGAAAGGCCUGGGGAAGGUGGCAGCAUUCGUGCUGUGUUAUAGCCCCUUGUUGUAUACUUCGGCUGGGACUGAGGACCGCAGCACGCCUUUGGCCGGGGUUCGCCCACGUACGUGCUUAGGAUGUUGGCAUAAUGGCUUUAAGCGACCCGUCUUG